CAACUUUUAACAACGGAUCUCUUGGUUCUCGCAUCGAUGAAGAACGUAGCAAAGUGCGAUAACUAAUGUGAAUUGCAUAUUCAGUGAAUCAUCGAGUCUUUGAACGCAACUU
rnacentral:rRNA from 1 species